rnacentral:rRNA from 1 species
UACGUAGGGUGCAGGCGUUUAAUCGGAAUUACUGGGCGUAUAGGGCGCGUAGGCGGCCUGCUAAGUCGAACGUGAAAUCCCUGGGCUCAACCCAGGAACUGCGUCCGAUACUGGUUGGCUUGAAUCCGGGAGAGGGACGUGGAAUUCCAGGUGUAGCGGUGAAAUGCGUAGAUAUCUGGAGGAACACCGGUGGCGAAGGCGACGUCCUGGACCGGCAUUGACGCUGAGGCGCGAAAGCCAGGGGGAGCAAACGGGGAUUAAGAAA